CCUACGGGAGGCAGCAGUAGGGAAUCUUCCACAAUGGGCGAAAGCCUGAUGGAGCAACGCCGCGUGGGUGAAGAAGGUCUUCGGAUCGUAAAACCCUGUUGUUAGAGAAGAAAGUGCGUGAGAGUCACUGUUCACGUUUCGACGGUAUCUAACCAGAAAGCCACGGCUAACUACGUGCCAGCAGCCGCGGUAAUACGUAGGUGGCAAGCGUUAUCCGGAUUUAUUGGGCGUAAAGGGAACGCAGGCGGUCUUUUAAGUCUGAUGUGAAAGCCUUCGGCUUAACCGGAGUAGUGCAUUGGAAACUGGGAGACUGGAGUGCAGAAGAGGAGAGUGGAACUCCAUGUGUAGCGGGGAAAUGCGUAGAUAGAUGGAAGAACACCAGUGGCGAAAGCGGCUCUCUGGUCUGUAACUGACGCUGAGGUUCGAAAGCGUGGGUAGCAAACAGGAUUAGAUACCCUAGUAGUC
rnacentral:rRNA from 1 species